rnacentral:rRNA from 1 species
GACGAACGCUGGCGGCGUGCCUAAUACAUGCAAGUCGAACGCUUUUUCUUUCACCGGAGCUUGCUCCACCGAAAGAAAAAGAGUGGCGAACGGGUGAGUAACACGUGGGUAACCUGCCCAUCAGAAGGGGAUAACACUUGGAAACAGGUGCUAAUACCGUAUAACACUAUUUUCCGCAUGGAAGAAAGUUGAAAGGCGCUUUUGCGUCACUGAUGGAUGGACCCGCGGUGCAUUAGCUAGUUGGUGAGGUAACGGCUCACCAAGGCAACGAUGCAUAGCCGACCUGAGAGGGUGAUCGGCCACACUGGGACUGAGACACGGCCCAGACUCCUACGGGAGGCAGCAGUAGGGAAUCUUCGGCAAUGGACGAAAGUCUGACCGAGCAACGCCGCGUGAGUGAAGAAGGUUUUCGGAUCGUAAAACUCUGUUGUUAGAGAAGAACAAGGAUGAGAGUAAAACGUUCAUCCCUUGACGUAUCUACCAGAAG